rnacentral:rRNA from 1 species
UACGUAGGGGGCAAGCGUUGUCCGGAAUCAUUGGGCGUAAAGCGCGUGUAGGCGGCUCGAUAAGUCUGCUGUGAAAGUCCAGGGCUCAACCCUGGGAUGCCGGUGGAUACUGUCGAGCUCGAGUCCGGAAGAGGCGAGUGGAAUUCCUGGUGUAGCGGUGAAAUGCGCAGAUAUCAGGAGGAACACCGAUGGCGAAGGCAGCUCGCUGGGACGUGACUGACGCUGAGGCGCGAAAGCGUGGGGAGCAAACAGG